rnacentral:piRNA from 1 species
UACCAAAGUUGAAUCAGGAUCAAGUUGAC